CCAAUUCAGACACUUGGAACAACCACCAUAUAUCUACUUUAUAUUUAUUUAGCUGCAGCUGGAGGGAUGUUGGGUUUAUUACUUGGAGCAAGCGUUCUAACAUUAGUGGAGUUUCUUGACUUCUUAAUAAAACUCUUCAGAAUGAAGUGGUCAGAAACAAAAGUUAGAACCAUCAAUUAACUCCUCGUCACUACAGAGAAGCAAAGGUGUUUACGUACCACGGAUAUAACAUACUGUCGUUAUACAAUAUAUAAGUAUAACAAUAUAUCGACCACGUAAAAUUAAUUAUAGCAUGUAUCAACUUGCGUGGUAUUUUGAAAUGUAUAUUUGGAGUCAAUGCAUUUAAGAUGGAGAAUGGUAUACCAGCGGUUUUUUAUGAGAAAAGUUAUGAUGAAAUUGCUUCAGAAUUAUUUUUCUGUCCGAAAACUGUCUCCAGGAUUUUUAACUGUUUUUACAGUAGAACUACCCUGGUUCCAGAAGGCUCUUUGCAAGGCGAAAGAAACGAGAGGCUAGAAGGAAGAGCCUCUGGUCACAUCGGUUGCAAAUCCCACUUCCACACUUGAUUAGGUUCAGAAUUUGAAUCUCGCACGUGAUUGGCCAUUUGUAAAACUAUGUCAAACCGGUACAUUACUGUAAGCUAAUUAUAGCUAUAAUAGCUAUAAUUAGCUUACAGUAAUGUUUAUUUCCCAAACCGGUUUGACAUAUUUUCACAAAUGGCCAUCAAAUUAUGAACCUAAUCAAGUGUAACCUGUGAUCAGGCCUAAAUAAUAAAUAGGAAGUGGGAUUUGCAACCGAUGUGACCAGAGGCUCUUCCUUCUCGCUUCUCGUCUCAACUUUUCCGCUUUGCUGGGGGACAACUUUAAUUGAAAUAGCUGUAUGUGAUCAUGCAUGCAUGAUUCUCAUAAUUUAUUUUUGAACGGUCUUUACUAUAAAUUUCUAUAUCUACAAGUAAGCACUAAUCAUAAUAAUUCGAUUAAAUAACCUUCCAUAGUUCCAAUCCAGAAUAAAAGUUCUUUAGGCAUUAAGCUGUAGGCCACACCAGGGAAAAAAGGAGAUUUCACAAAUCUUCCCUCGAUGUAUCUGAAACUGCAAAUGCAAUAGACAUAUGCAACAUUAUACAAUCGUGAUCUUCUCCUAAAUUCCUAAUCCUAGCUACCUCUUAUUUUAACGCUAAUCAUUUCCUUAAUCCUACCACUGUUCUAACUUAAUCUAACCAGAAGUCCUAUCUUAAUCGAACCCGAACCUAAUUCCAU